UAGGUGUUUUGGGCUGAGUUCCUGUUUGUUCUCUGUCCUUUCAAAUUGGUUGCUCAACUUGUCUUUUCCUUCCUUUUGAGUUUUAUGACAGGAAAAUCUGACACAAACUUUAUAAUGGCAGUACAUGAGCCUGGGAGAAUUGCAGAGGACAGCACUGACAGCGAUGACAGUAUUAAAGACAGGCGUCCACACUUCUCUGAUGCGGAGAGCUCAAACUCAACAAACAAAACUCAACAGAGAAUCAUACUUAAAGAGAAGACUGAACAGAGUACAGACCAAACCUGUGCUGCUAGGAAAGAUCUUGGAGAAUGACCUCAUUUUACUUCAUUAAAGAUUAACUUAGGAUUCAUUUUUGGCUCCUGGGUGUAACACUGAAGACUUGGGACUCGUUUAUGAUCUGUUUUGGACUCCACUGUCCACUUUGUGAAUUCAAGUAGGAUGGGUCCACAUGCAGAAAUGACUUACACAGGUGUUCUGUUUGUGAGAGCAGUGGGUACAGUGUGCAGGCUGCAGGGUGCGGUCAAUCCUGUCCCACAAUGCACUGCAAAGAAGAGGAGGAACUCACUGUUGGAACAUGCUGGAGCUGAGUGCUCCUACAAAACAGAAUACAAAACAAGUGCUUCUUUAAAAUGUAGAGGUUGCAUUUGAAUGUAUUUCAGUAUUAAGAUGCUGUAUGUGUGUUUUAGCCAGUAUGUAGUAAAAUGACCCACUGUAAACACAGUGCUGAGCAUUGAGAGCCCCAGGGUGGUUUCUCACUAUUAUCCCUUUGAUGCACAAACCUUUCAAACACCUUCGAAUACACAACAUGGGUCAAUAAGGACCCGUAUUUAUUUCUUUUUAUUUCAUGCAUGACUGAGUGUCUCUUUGCUAUAACUUUUGAAAUCAAUUUCUUUCAUCUGUAAAGUGCAUCAUGUAAUGUGUCUAUGUCUGUGGGCAGGGUAGAAGUGCUUACUUAAAUAAUGGAGAGCACCAAAAGAGUCCCUCACUGUUUGCCCCUCUGCUCUUCCAAAAGAGAGAGAGUAUUAAUGUAAUGGUAGAAAUGGAAGGUCGCAGAGGAAGGCCUAGCGGAAUCCGUUCAUUUAUCUGUAUUUUGUACACUAUUGUUCAGACGUGUGUAAUCAAGAUUUUCAAAAAAAAAUUCCCUUUACUUGUUAAUAAUUGUAUGAAAUGAUUGUAAUAUAAUCUUUCUGUACACAUUCACAGGCCUCAAAUAAUAAGAAGGAAACCAAGACUAUAUUUCCUAAAUUUUCAAUUCAAUUCAACUUUAUUGUCAUUAUACAAUACAGGGUAGUACAGUAUAACGAAACACUAUCGGGCUACUUUUCCAGUGCAGUAAUAAAAGAUGCAUAGUAAACAGUGCAAAGACA